rnacentral:rRNA from 1 species
CAGUCGCCACGGGAAUACGUAGGGGGCGAGCGUUGUCCGAAGUUACUGGGCGUAAAGCGCGCGUAGGCGGCUUCUUAAGUCUGAGGUGAAAGGUUCAACGCUUAACGUGAACAGUGCCUUGGAUACUGGGGAGCUUGAGUAUGGGAGAGGGCAGUGGAAUGGCUGGUGUAGCGGUGAAAUGCGUAGAUAUCAGUCGGAACACCCAUGGCGAAGGCAGCUGCCUGGCCUAAUACUGACGCUGAGGUGCGAAAGCGUGGGGAGCGAACGGGAUUAGAUACCCGCGUAGUCCCUGUCUCUUAUA